CUGUUCUUCUCUGGCCAUGUAGCUCAUUUGUUCAUUUUGGGAUUGCUACGUUUAUAAAUUAAGUUACUAUAAGUUUUUUUCUAUCAAUAAUAAUAUUGAGUCAUUGUUUGGUUAUGUUGUACUAAACUUACCUUGGUGUCGACAUUUUAGGUUGUCUCUUGCCACUUUUUCCUUUUUGUGGUGUGUCUUCAGAGAUUCUCUUUACAGCUUUU
rnacentral:lncRNA from 1 species